rnacentral:misc_RNA from 1 species
GAUGAAGAACGUAGCGAAAUGCGAUAAGUAAUGUGAAUUGCAGAAUUCAGUGAAUCAUCGAAUCUUUGAACGCACAUUGCGCCCCUUGGUAUUCCGAGGGGCAUGCCUGUUCGAGCGUCAUUAUAACCCUCAAGCUCAGCUUGGUGUUGGGGCCUGCUGCACUGGCAGCCCUUAAAAUCAGUGGCGGCGCCAUCUGGCUCUAAGCGUAGUAAUUCUUCUCGCUAUGGAGUCCUGGUGGAUGCUUGCCACCAACCCCCAAUUUUUCUAUGGUUGACCUCGGAUCAGGUAGGGAUACCCGCUGAACUUAAGCAUAUCAAUAAGCGGAGGA